GACGAACGCUGGCGGCGUGCCUAAUACAUGCAAGUUGAGCGCUGAAGGUUGGUACUUGUACCCACUGGAUGAGCAGCGCACGGGUGAGUAACGCGUGGGGAAUCUGCCUUUGAGCGGGGGACAACAUUUGGAAACGAAUGCUAAUACCGCAUAAAAACUUUAAACACAAGUUUUAAGUUUGAAAGAUGCAAUUGCAUCACUCAAAGAUGAUCCCGCGUUGUAUUAGCUAGUUGGUGAGGUAAAGGCUCACCAAGGCGAUGAUACAUAGCCGACCUGAGAGGGUGAUCGGCCACAUUGGGACUGAGACACGGCCCAAACUCCUACGGGAGGCAGCAGUAGGGAAUCUUCGGCAAUGGACGAAAGUCUGACCGAGCAACGCCGCGUGAGUGAAGAAGGUUUUCGGAUCGUAAAACUCUGUUGGUAGAGAAGAACGUUGGUGAGAGUGGAAAGCUCAUCAAGUGACGGUAACUACACAGAAAGGGACGGCUAACUACGUG
rnacentral:rRNA from 1 species